rnacentral:rRNA from 1 species
AUUGAACGCUGGCGGCAGGCCUAACACAUGCAAGUCGAGCGGAUGACGGGAGCUUGCUCCUUGAUUCAGCGGCGGACGGGUGAGUAAUGCCUAGGAAUCUGCCUGGUAGUGGGGGACAACGUUUCGAAAGGAACGCUAAUACCGCAUACGUCCUACGGGAGAAAGCAGGGGACCUUCGGGCCUUGCGCUAUCAGAUGAGCCUAGGUCGGAUUAGCUAGUUGGUGGGGUAAUGGCUCACCAAGGCGACGAUCCGUAACUGGUCUGAGAGGAUGAUCAGUCACACUGGAACUGAGACACGGUCCAGACUCCUACGGGAGGCAGCAGUGGGGAAUAUUGGACAAUGGGCGAAAGCCUGAUCCAGCCAUGCCGCGUGUGUGAAGAAGGUCUUCGGAUUGUAAAGCACUUUAAGUUGGGAGGAAGGGCAGUAAGCUAAUACCUUGCUGUUUUGACGUUACCGACAGAAUAAGCACCGGCUAACUCUGUGCCAGCCGCCGCCGUAAGAC